rnacentral:rRNA from 1 species
AUACAUAGGGGGCGAGCGUUAUCCGGAUUUAUUGGGCGUAAAGCGCGUCUAGGCGGCUUAGUAAGUCUGAUGUGAAAAUGCGGGGCUCAACCCCGUAUUGCGUUGGAAACUGCUAAACUAGAGUACUGGAGAGGUAGGCGGAACUACAAGUGUAGAGGUGAAAUUCGUAGAUAUUUGUAGGAAUGCCGAUGGGGAAGCCAGCCUACUGGACAGAUACUGACGCUAAAGCGCGAAAGCGUGGGUAGCAAACAGGAUUAGAUACCCUGGUAGUCCACGCCGUAAACGAUGAUUACUAGGUGUUGGGGGUCGAACCUCAGCGCCCAAGCUAACGCGAUAAGUAAUCCGCCUGGGGAGUACGUACGCAAGUAUGAAACUCAAAGGAAUUGACGGGG